GAUGAAGAACGCAGCGUAAUGCGAUAAGUAAUGUGAAUUGCAGAAUUCAGUGAAUCAUCGAAUCUUUGAACGCACAUUGCGCCCGCCAGUAUUCUGGCGGGCAUGCCUGUUCGAGCGUCAUUACAACCCUCAGGCCCCCGGGCCUGGCGUUGGGGAUCGGCGGAAGCCCCCUGCGGGCACAACGCCGUCCCCCAAAUACAGUGGCGGUCCCGCCGCAGCUUCCAUUGCGUAGUAGCUAACACCUCGCAACUGGAGAGCGGCGCGGCCACGCCGUAAAACACCCAACUUCUGAAUGUUGACCUCGAAUCAGGUAGGAAUACCCGCUGAACUUAAGCAUAUCAAUAAGCGGAGGA
rnacentral:misc_RNA from 1 species